UCUCGUUGGUGACCAGCGGAGGGUCAUUACCGAGUUUACAACUCCCAAACCCCAUGUGAACAUACCUGUUUCGUUCCCUCGGCGGUGUCCGGCAACGGCCCGCCAGAGGACCCAACAAACUCUUUUGAAUUAUUCAGUAUCUUCUGAGUGAAAAAAACAAUAAAUCAAAACUUUCAACAACGGAUCUCUUGGUUCUGGCAUCGAUGAAGAACGCAGCGAAAUGCGAUAAGUAAUGUGAAUUGCAAAAUUCAGUGAAUCAUCGAAUCUUUGAACGCACAUUGCGCCCGCCAGUAUUCUGGCGKGCAUGCCUGUUCGAGCGUCAUUUCAACCCUCAAGCACCUUCGGGAGCUUGGUGUUGGGGAUCGGCAAGGCGUCCUCCGGGUCGCGCCGUCCCCCAAAUUUAGUGGCGGUCUCGCUGUAGCUUCCUCUGCGUAGUAAUACACCUCGCUCUGGAGUCUCGGUGCGACCACGCCGUAAAACCCCCAACUUUUUCUGGUUGACCUCGAAUCAGGUAGGACUACCCGCUGAACUUAAGCAUAUCAAUAAGCGGAGGAAAAGAAACCAACAGGGAUUGCCCUAGUAACGGCGAGUGAAGCGGCAACAGCUCAAAUUUGAAAUCUGGCCCUCGGGUCCGAGUUGUAAUUUGUAGAGGAUGCUUUUGGUGAGGUGCCUUCCGAGUUCCCCGGAACGGGACGCCAUAGAGGGUGAGAGCCCCGUCUGGUUGGAUACCGAGCCUCUGUAAAGCUCCUUUGACGAGUCGAGUAGUUUGGGAAUGCUGCUCUAAAUGGGAGGUAUAUGUCUUUUAAAGAUAAAUACCGGCCAGAGACCGAUAGCGCACAAGUAGAGUGAUCGAAAGAUGAAAAGCACUUUGAAAAGAGAGUUAAAAAGUACGUGAAAUUGUUGAAAGGGAAGCGCUUAUGACCAGACUUGGGCUUGGUUGAUCAUCCUGGGUUUUCCCUGGUGCACUUUUCCAGUUCAGGCCAGCAUCAGUUCGCUGCGGGGGAUAAAAGCUUUGGGAAUGUGGCUCCCUCGGGAGUGUUAUAACCCCUUGCAUAAUACCCUGCUCCGGACUGAGGUUCGCGCAUCUGCAAGGAUGCUGC
rnacentral:rRNA from 1 species